CCAAGACGCAUUAGAUUUUUUUUAGCAUAACAUUUAAUUAACUAGCAAAACACCCGUGCAUUGCUACGGAACAACGGAAAAUUGUAUCAAAACGUCAAAUUAAAUGUUGAUGUGUUUCAUGAGCACAUAUGUAUAUAACGAUUAUGAUAUGUUUAUUUUCGUAACUUAUACUCUGGUCUCUUUCUCUUUUGCACUUGUCUCAUUUCUACAUCCCGUGUAAAAAGAAAUUCACACAUGCUCAAGUUUUUUGCUCUCUACCUCCAUGUUAUCACUGUUCUCACGUAGACCACACUUGAAAAGUGAGCGUUUUUCAACUCUUUUUUUUUUCUGAAUUCAUGAAGUGAUUGUAAUAUAAUCAUGAAUAAGGAAGAACAUGUAACAAUCAUAAUUUUUAUCACUUCCAUCCGUCUAAGCCGAUCGACCUCCCUGUGUGGUGAUGAAUUAAACAGCAAGCAUCGGUAUAUUGAUCAAGACAGCAAGUAGCAGCAGCAGCCAUCACAUAAAGCAAACAGCAGUAUAAAAUUUUGCUUAAUGGAUCCUUGCCCUGCUCUCCUAUCCCUUCUCCCAAUUUCUCUCGCUCUCCCUCUCAUUACCCUCUCCAUCCACCCUGAGUGCAAACUCCUCCUCUCCUCGUCCCGAUUCAUCCCGUCAUUGAACAUGUGCGCACCGCCUCCGCCCGUAGAUUCCUGCCGUCUGAUCCCACUUGCCACCCGGU
rnacentral:lncRNA from 1 species